UAAACACGCUUACGGUAUGCUUCGCAUUGAUUUUCGUUGUUUGUUUGUUUUUUGCUGUUGGUUUGCUUCUUUUUUUAUAUUUUGCUUAUGACUUGAUUUUUGUAUUGUGAAGUCUGUAUUCACUUCAUGUGUGUUACAAGUUUACUCGGGAUGUCAAAUCACAAUUGGUUCGGAAGAUUACUAAAGUUUUUACAAACAAAUUUGAUGGUCCAUAUUAUAAUUGCUCAUGUGUGCCUCCGGAGAGACGAGAAAGAUACUUGCUCGAGUUUGCGAAAACACACAUUUGAUAACAGGGACAGUGCAACAGCUUUUCUAUGAGAUAUGUCAACGCCGGAUGAAAAACAUGGUUGACGCUAGGAAAAGUCGACUGCGACCUAAAUGGAUCAAGAAUACUCUCUGGAAAAAAAUGGUUGCGCAGUGGGAUACUGAAGAAGCACAUGAAAGGAGUCGAACCUAUUCCAAUGCUCGUAUGUCUGACUGUAAUAGUAUCGGUCCUCACAUGCACUUAUCUGGGCCAAUGUCGUUUUAAAAAGUCAAACAAGGCUUGGUGAGUAACUUAUAUAUAUAUCUGUACUUUAUUUUUCUUACACCUUUGCAACAUUAAUAUAUGUCAUAAGCCUUUCUUUUUUGUGUAACAUUCGAGGAAGAGAAAUUGGGGAGACCGGUGAGUCUUGGUGAGAUUUUUAAAGAGACACAUACAAAGUCAGAUGGUACGUAUGUCGAUCGAAAGGCCCAGAAGACCAUUACAACUUAUGAGAAAAACUUGCAAGCUAAGAUAUCUGAGCUCGAGACAGAUCCUUCACGAGCUCAGCAGCUCACAACAGAAGAUUAUACGACCAUCUUUCUUGAGUACACUAAGAAUGAUUCACGAGGUAAUCUUUAUGGACUUGGAAGCCUCAAGGAUCAUCUUAAGGAUCUUCUCAAUUGCAAGGGAAAUCCACGAGGAGAUUAUUGAUCCUUUGUAGCAUUGCAAGAGCAAAUGAAGGAAAGUCAACAUAUAAUUGAAGAACAAGUUGCGUAUAAUACAAAACAUGAUGCUGAGAUUGCUGCUUGUGAAGCAGAACAUUCCAAAGUUGUGGCUGAGCAAAAGAAGAAGAUACAGCACUUGUCAUUGGUGGAAAAGUACUUGCGCCAAACCGAUCCAGCGUUUGUGGAUUUCCUUGAGUCUGAAUCAAGUGAAACACCCACCGAGGCUCCAACAGAAAGAAAAACUCCUUCUUAGGUUACUUCCUAGGUUACUUCCUAGGUUACUUAUCUAUUUUUUAACUCUCAUGAACUUGUCACUUUAGUGUUCUUAAUAACU